rnacentral:rRNA from 1 species
CCUGGUGGUUCGAGCGUGGUGGGACCACCCGUUCCCAUCCCGAACACGGAAGUGAAACGCCACAGCGCCGACGAUACUGCACUCUAGCGGGUGUGGGACAAUGGGUCACUGCCAGGG